rnacentral:SRP_RNA from 1 species
GCUGGGCAUGGUGGCGCAUGCCUGUAGUCCCAGCUACUCGGGAGGCUGAGGCAGGAGAAUUGCUUGAACCUGGGGGGCGGAGGUUGCAGUGAGCCGAGAUCGUGCCACUGCACUCCAGCUUAGGUGACAGAGCGAGACUCUGUCUCAC